rnacentral:rRNA from 1 species
UACGUAGGUGGCAAGCGUUGUCCGGAUUUACUGGGCGUAAAGAGCGCGCAGGCGGUCGAAUAAGUCGAAUGUGAAAGCCCCCGGCUUAACUGGGGAGGGUCAUUCGAUACUGCUCGACUUGAAGGCAGGAGAGGGUAGUGGAAUUCCCGGUGUAGUGGUGAAAUGCGUAGAUAUCGGGAGGAACACCAGUGGCGAAGGCGGCUUCCUGGCCUGUUCUUGACGCUGAGGCGCGAAAGCUAGGGGAGCAAACGGG